rnacentral:rRNA from 1 species
UACGGGGGGAGCAAGCGUUGUUCGGAUUUACUGGGCGUAAAGGGCGCGUAGGCGGCCACCGCAAGUCGACUGUGAAAUCUCCGGGCUUAACUCGGAAAGGUCAGCCGAUACUGCGGGGCUAGAGUGCAGAAGGGGCAACUGGAAUUCUCGGUGUAGCGGUGAAAUGCGUAGAUAUCGAGAGGAACACCUGCGGCGAAGGCGGGUUGCUGGGCCGACACUGACGCUGAGGCGCGAAAGCCAGGGGAGCGAACGGG